CAAAACAAACAUUUUGCUCAUAUCUAGAUUAUAAGUUUAUUAAUUUAAAUACGAGAAUCGAGAUUUCAAAGCUCCAAAUGGCUUUAAGCGGUCAAGUGGACUUUAAAAAAGUUGUACUCAUAGCCAACGGCAUUCUACUUGUCCUGUGUUUUAGUUUGGUUCCAAAACUAUCGAAAUAUCUCGCAACGCACUGCCUUCGUUGAGUCAGCUGGAAGAGCUAGUAAGCUUUUUGGAAAGCAAACCAUGUUUGAUUAUGAUGGGCCAUGCUCGUACUGCGAAUGCGAGCAUGCAUGCAUGAUCCGAAAACAACAGCCCUAAACAGUGAAGUAGUGGGUGUAUGAAAAUAUUGGAGCAGUGGUGUAAGUACUGGAAGGACAAAAAGGAGCAGUUCAGAGGAAGUCCAGUUCUAUUGCAGCUGCGAGCCAACAUGAAGAAUUUGCCAGAACUCGGUGUAAUCAAGUUAAAAAUACAUUCCAUUAUGCAAGAAUGUUUUGGAAUCUGAAUU
rnacentral:lncRNA from 1 species